rnacentral:lncRNA from 1 species
UGUUGGCGCCGCCUCCUCGCAGCGCCGCGUCGUCUUCCUCCCUCUCGUUGCAUCUCACAACUCUCCUGAGGUUUCUCUCUUCUCUUCUCUCACAAACACACACAUGGUGAUGAACUCUACACACACACGCAUAUACACCAAGAAAGAACACACAGGCUUUGCCGAGACUCUCCCUUGGCACCCACAAGCACUACAUUGUUUUCUCAGCCCACACGGCCUCAUUUUCAUUCAACUCAAAGUAGUAUAUAUACACAAGCUUUAGGCUCCUGCCAUGCACUUCACGCACCACUAGAGCCACUACUCCACUAAUUUCUCCAUGAUCCACAUGACUCUGCAUGCAGCUAACUAACUUGACUCAGCUCGGUUACUACCUCCACCAAGCGAACUCUAUGCAGCUAACUAACCACACUGCAUGCAUGCUGACUAAACUGAUUCACCAAUUCCCUCGGCUAGUACUAGUACACCCUGUUGUCCUCAGCACUUGCACCACAGCUUCACGCAGCACGCACACUCGCCACGGCGCAGCGUCCCGCAUGUCCCGCGUGCACCUGACACGCCCGACGAGCCUGACCGCACCGCACGCCGUGGCUUAUUCCAACACAGACCCCCUAAGCCACGGCCUUGCCGUCCAUCCUGACAGGACUCCGACCUCUCAUCGACUGCCACGGAGAACGCCCUUCUUCACCUCCGGCGACACACGCCGCAGCUUCUCUUCCCGCCGCACUUACGCCGCCGGCCGCAACUACGGCCGAUUUCCUCAAGCACGAACUCGAGCCACACCUGUUACAACGCAUACGGGGGUUUCUUAGACCCUGGGGCGCGCCAGGGCACGUACCCUACGCCCCAGUCCACGCCGAGCGCCUAGUCCGGCCCGCUCUGCAGACUCCCGCGACAUGCACGCACACGUCCGGGUCGUGCGAGCCCGCCUAGGACCAACUCCACGCUCCCCCCGAUCUCGCCAACAGAACGCACACAAGCUGCACUCGUGCACGGACACGCCCGUGCACACCACACGCACGACCCGCCGUGGAUCCGACGCACCCAGCGCGCCUGGAGCGUGCCCAUACACGCGCCGGACGCGACAAGCUCGUCGCCAUGGUUGCUGUCGUCCGACGCCACCGUGUGUUUCCAGCACGAGCCGCCGCAGAUGUCGUGCAACGCGGCCACCUCGCCGGCCGCUAUCGCGCACCGCCGCCGAUGUAGCUACCUCCGCGCUGCGUCCCGUCCAGCGCCACUCACUGCCGCCGCCGAAACCCGCAGCUCCGUGCGCUGCCGUGCCGCGUCUCCGUGCCUCGCGCCACUAUGCCUCCACGGCCGUCGCGCCGAGCUGCCGCGGCCUCUGCGCAACCAUGCAGGUCCUCCGCGACUUCCUCGCCUCCGUGACCGCCGCUGCUCGUCGCGCGCACGGCAUCACGUCGCACCACCGCGGACUCAUCGCCUGUCGCAGUCGCCACGCGCGCUCCGCGACGCCACCGCGCGCCACGGCCGCCCCUCGAACUUGGCUCUGAAUACCAAAUAUUGGCGCCGCCUCCUCGCAGCGCCGCGUCGUCUUCCUCCCUCUCGUUGCAUCUCACAACUCUCUUGAGGUUUCUCUCUUCUCUUAUCUCACAAACACACACAUGGUGAUGAACUCUACACACACGCAUAUACACCAAGAAAGAACACACAGGCUUUGCCGAGACUCUCCCUUGGCACCCACAAGCACUACAUUGUUUUCUCAGCCCACACGGCCUCAUUUCCAUUCAACUCAAAGUAGUAUAUAUACACAAGCUUUAGGCUCCUGCCAUGCACUUCACGCACCACUAGAGCCACUACUCCACUAGUUUCUACAUGAUCCACAUGACUCUGCAUGCAGCUAACUAACUUGACUCAGCUCGGUUACUACCUCCAC